ensembl:rRNA 5S_rRNA 5S ribosomal RNA
GCCACCAGCCAUAUCACCCUGCAACUCACAACUGGCAACCCACUGAAGCUAGGCAGGUGUGAGCCUGGUCAGUACCUGGAUGGGUGACCUCCUGGGAAAAACAAGGUUGCUGCUGGAA